AUUGAACGCUGGCGGCAUGCCUUACACAUGCAAGUCGAACGGUAACAGGUCUUCGGAUGCUGACGAGUGGCGAACGGGUGAGUAAUAUAUCGGAACGUGCCCAGUAGUGGGGGAUAACUGCUCGAAAGAGCAGCUAAUACCGCAUACGACCUGAGGGUGAAAGGGGGGGAUCGCAAGACCUCUCGCUAUUGGAGCGGCCGAUAUAAGAUUAGCUAGUUGGUGGGGUAAAGGCCUACCAAGGCAACGAUCUGUAGUUGGUCUGAGAGGACGACCCGCCCACCUGGGACUGAGAAACGGCACAGACUCCUACGGGAGGCAGCAGUGGGGAAUUUUGGGCAAUGGGCGCAAGCCUGAUCCAGCAAUGCCGCGUGCAGGAAGAAGGCCUGCGGGUUGUAAACUGCUUUUGUCAGGGAAGAAAUCUUCUGGGCUAAUACCCCGGGAGGAUGACGGUACCUGAAGAAUAAGCACCGGCUAACUACGUGCCAGCCGCCGCAGUAA
rnacentral:rRNA from 1 species